rnacentral:rRNA from 1 species
CCUACGGGGGGCUGCAGUGGGGAAUAUUGGACAAUGGGCGAAAGCCUGAUCCAGCCAUGCCGCGUGUGCGAAGAAGGCCUUCGGGUUGUAAAGCACUUUCAGUGGGGAAGAAAGCCUUGGGGCUAAUACCCUCGAGGAAGGACAUCACCCACAGAAGAAGCACCGGCUAACUCCGUGCCAGCAGCCGCGGUAAUACGGAGGGUGCGAGCGUUAAUCGGAAUUACUGGGCGUAAAGCGCGCGUAGGCGGUCUGAUAAGCCGGUUGUGAAAGCCCCGGGCUCAACCUGGGAACGGCAUCCGGAACUGUCAGGCUAGAGUGCAGGAGAGGAAGGUAGAAUUCCCGGUGUAGCGGUGAAAUGCGUAGAGAUCGGGAGGAAUACCAGUGGCGAAGGCGGCCUUCUGGACUGACACUGACGCUGAGGUGCGAAAGCGUGGGUAGCAAACAGGAUUAGAUACCCCAGUAGUC